GUCCUUUCUUCAACAGCACAUAUACUAAAAUUGGAACGACACAGAGAUUAGCAUGGCCCCUGUGCAAGGACGGGGGAAAUUCUUGAAAUAUUCCGUAUUUUU
ensembl:snRNA U6 U6 spliceosomal RNA